rnacentral:rRNA from 1 species
UACGUAGGGGGCAAGCGUUGUCCGGAUUUAUUGGGCGUAAAGAGCGUGUAGGCGGUUUGGUAGGUCCGCUGUGAAAACUCGAGGCUCAACCUCGGACUUGCGGUGGGUACGGGCAGACUAGAGUGUGGUAGGGGAGACUGGAAUUCCUGGUGUAGCGGUGAAAUGACGCAGAUAUCAGGAGGAACACCGAUGGCGAAGGCAGGUCUCUGGGCCACUACUGACGCUGGAGAAGCGAAAAGCAUGGGGAGCGAACAGG